UGCAGUCGAGCGGUAGCACAGAGAGCUUGCUCUCGGGUGACGAGCGGCGGACGGGUGAGUAAUGUCUGGGAAACUGCCUGAUGGAGGGGGAUAACUACUGGAAACGGUAGCUAAUACCGCAUAACGUCGCAAGACCAAAGUGGGGGACCUUCGGGCCUCAUGCCAUCAGAUGUGCCCAGAUGGGAUUAGCUAGUAGGUGGGGUAACGGCUCACCUAGGCGACGAUCCCUAGCUGGUCUGAGAGGAUGACCAGCCACACUGGAACUGAGACACGGUCCAGACUCCUACGGGAGGCAGCAGUGGGGAAUAUUGCACAAUGGGCGCAAGCCUGAUGCAGCCAUGCCGCGUGUGUGAAGAAGGCCUUCGGGUUGUAAAGCACUUUCAGCGGGGAGGAAGGCGGUGAGGUUAAUAACCUCGUCGAUUGACGUUACCCGCAGAAGAAGCACCGGCUAACUCCGUGCCAGCAGCCGCGGUAAUACGGAGGGUGCAAGCGUUAAUCGGAAUUACUGGGCGUAAAGCGCACGCAGGCGGUCUGUCAAGUCGGAUGUGAAAUCCCCGGGCUCAACCUGGGAACUGCAUUCGAAACUGGCAGGCUAGAGUCUUGUAGAGGGGGGUAGAAUUCCAGGUGUAGCGGUGAAAUGCGUAGAGAUCUGGAGGAAUACCGGUGGCGAAGGCGGCCCCCUGGACAAAGACUGACGCUCAGGUGCGAAAGCGUGGGGAGCAAACAGGAUUAGAUACCCUGGUAGUCCACGCCGUAAACGAUGUCGAUUUGGAGGUUGUGCCCUUGAGGCGUGGCUUCCGGAGCUAACGCGUUAAAUCGACCGCCUGGGGAGUACGGCCGCAAGGUUAAAACUCAAAUGAAUUGACGGGGGCCCGCACAAGCGGUGGAGCAUGUGGUUUAAUUCGAUGCAACGCGAAGAACCUUACCUGGUCUUGACAUCCACAGAACUUUCCAGAGAUGGAUUGGUGCCUUCGGGAACUGUGAGACAGGUGCUGCAUGGCUGUCGUCAGCUCGUGUUGUGAAAUGUUGGGUUAAGUCCCGCAACGAGCGCAACCCU
rnacentral:rRNA from 1 species